UGGGGAAUUUUUGGACAAUGGGCGAAAGCCUGAUCCAGCCAUGCCGCGUGCAGGAUGAAGGCCUUCGGGUUGUAAACUGCUUUUUGUACGGAACGAAAAGGUCUGCCCUAAUACGGCGGGCUCAUGACGGUACCGUAAGAAUAAGCACCGGCUAACUACGUGCCAGCAGCCGCGGUAAUACGUAGGGUGCAAGCGUUAAUCGGAAUUACUGGGCGUAAAGCGUGCGCAGGCGGUUAUGUAAGACAGAUGUGAAAUCCCCGGGCUCAACCUGGGAACUGCAUUAGUGACUGCAUAGCUGGAGUACGGCAGAGGGGGGAUGGAAUUCCGCGUGUAGCAGUGAAAUGCGUAGAUAUGCGGAGGAACACCGAUGGCGAAGGCAAUCCCCUGGGCCUGUACUGACGCUCAUGCACGAAAGCGUGGGGAGCAAACNGGAUUAAUACCCUGGUAGUCCACGCCCUAAACGAUGUCAACUGGGUUGUUGGGGUCUUCACUGACUCAGUAACGAAGCUAACGCGUGAAGUUGACCGCCUGGGGAGUACGGCCGCAAGGUUGAAACUCAAAGGAAUUGACGGGGGUCAUAGCUG
rnacentral:rRNA from 1 species